rnacentral:lncRNA from 1 species
GUCUAUGCUCAGCCUUUGGGUCACCUUGGCUGUUUUGGAUGGGCUUGUCAUCUUUGAAGGUGUGCGUGGAUGCAGAGAUACCUGUAAUGGUGGUGGGGGGCAGCGUGGUGCGACCAGUGAUCUGAGCCAGCUAGUGGAUGACAUGACAGAGGAGUGUGCACAGAGGAGGUGGAGGAGGUGGUGGUGGUCGUGGCUCUCUGUUCCUCUGCCUCCUUUCACCGGAGCCAAAGAGAUGCAGAGCGAAGAAACAGAAAGAGAGAGAGAGAGAGAGAGAGAGAGAGAGAGAGAGAAAAGGAGCGGGAUGAAAGAAGACCGUGCUGGCAGAUCUGUGGGCACGUCUGUCUUCAUCUGCGGCCAUCCUAAUCCCUUCUUUCAUCCCCCAGGUCACCGCUACUUCUUCCGUGACAAACACGCUGCCAUGGCAAUUGCAGAAAAACAGCGAAGGCCGGCCGUAAUGUCAUCGUCGGGUCCUGGGCGGUGUGAGGAUAAGACUCCCACGCCUCUCGCACUGCCGCUCGCUGAGACGGACCACAGGGAACACUCUUGGUUCUGAGGGGAGACGGACAGAAGACAGACAAAGUGCACCGGUUUGAAGUGACGGAGGGUGAGAACCAGAGUGACUCACCCUCUCCUCCCUGCUCAUCCACUCGCCGACCA